GCGAGAAACCUUUGCAAUGUGCGCAAGCACGACAAGGUUAAUCCGAGUGUUUCCUGCUAAAGGAAUCUUUUGUUAGUUCUAAAACCACUGAUGAAUAAGAGGUGGGCAAGUUCUGGUGUCAGCCGCCGCGGUAAAACCAGCACCUCAAGUGGUCAGGAGGAUUAUUGGGCCUAAAGCAUCCGUAGCCGGUUCUGUAAGUUUUCGGUUAAAUCCACUAGCUUAACUAAUGGGCUGCCGAAAAUACUGCAGAACUAGGGAGUGGGAGAGGUAGACGGUACUCGGUAGGAAGGGGUAAAAUCCUUUGAUCUAUCGAUGACCACCUGUGGCGAAGGCGGUCUACCAGAACACGUUCGACGGUGAGGGAUGAAAGCUGGGGGAGCAAACCGGAUUAGAUACCCAAGUAGUCCCUGAGCGGGCUGGCAAGGCGCAU
rnacentral:rRNA from 1 species